rnacentral:rRNA from 1 species
GACAGAGGGGGCAAGCGUUGUCCGGAGUUACUGGGCGUAAAGCGCGCGUAGGCGGUACGGUAAGUAAGGUGUGAAAGCCCCAGGCUUAACCUGGGGAGGUCAUCUUCGACUGCCGCACUCGAGUCGUGCAGAGGGUGGCGGAAUUGCCGGUGUAGUGGUGAAAUGCGUAGAGAUCGGCAGGAACACCAAGGGCGAAAGCAGCCACCUGGGCACGUACUGACGCUGAGGUGCGAAAGCGUGGGGAGCGAACCGG